GUUCGAGAGUUCGAUAGUAAUCGAAUUAAUACAUUCGAGAGCUCGAAACUCAUAGCUCUGUCAACAGUUUUAACCGAUCAUGUCCGAUUAUUGCCGAAUCAUUCCGAAACCCGAUCCUGUCCGAAGUUUUCCGAUUCAUUCCGAGAUUUGGAUUCCGAGGUGUGAAACGUUCUGACAUUGUUAAUUCUUUUUGUGUCUUCAUUUCACGUUUUUCCCAUUCGAACGCAAUAUUUUCCAUCAACCAAGAAACCUGGAACUACUUCAUUCUCCAAAGAAUAGCGUUAUUAUUGAGAAAAAAGAGGAACCAAAUGCUUUCAAAGAGAAUUUAUAUGGUGCAUGGUCAUACAUUUAAACGGAGUAUAAAUGGUAUAAGUAAGUGGAUAAAUGACGAUUAGUUGGAUAUUACACGAAUUCGCUUAAUCAUGUAAUACUGGAUCUCAAAGCGAAAAUCAACUAAAAUUACAUAUCAUGUAAAAUUGUAUUAGAAACGUUAGAAACUUCAGUUGAAGCUCAACUACGUGCUUUAGUUUAUCUUCAUGUAAAUGGGAUUUCAUCGAAAUUCUCUAAAUACGAAACUAUAUUUCGCAAAAUUAUAUUUCACAAUUAUUCGCUAUAUUAGUAUAAAACAAUAACGAUCCGAAAUAAAAUAACUUCUUUGUUAU